AUUGAACGCUGGCGGCAGGCCUAACACAUGCAAGUCGCACGAGUGGCGGACGGGUGAGUAAUGUCUGGGAAACUGCCUGAUGGAGGGGGAUAACUACUGGAAACUGUAGCUAAUACCGCAUACUCUCGGCAGUGCCCAGAAGGGAUUAGCGAGUAGGUGGGGUAAAGGCUCACCUAGGCGCCGAUCCCUAGCUGGUCUGAGAGGAUGACCAUCAACACUGGAACUGAGACACGGUCCAGACUCCUACGGGAGGCAGCAGUGGGGAAUAUUGCACAAUGGUCGCAAGCCGGAUGCAGCCAUGCCGCGUGUAUGAAGAAGGCCUUCGGGUUGUAAAGUACUUUCAGCGGGGAGGCGUUACCCGCAGAAGAAGCACCGGCUAACUCCGUGCCAGCAGCCGCGGUAAUUC
rnacentral:rRNA from 1 species